GCACGACAAGGUUAAUCCGAGUGAUUUCUGCUAAAGAAAUCUUUUGUCAGUCAUAAAACCACUGACGAAUAAGGGGUGGGCAAGUUCUGGUGUCAGCCGCCGCGGUAAAACCAGCACCUCAAGUGGUCAGGAUGAUUAUUGGGCCUAAAGCAUCCGUAGCCGGCUUUGUUAGUUUUCGGUUAAAUCCAUGUGCUCAACACAUGGGCUGCCGAAAAUACUGCAUGGCUAGGGAGUGGGAGAGGUAGACGGUACUCAGUAGGAAGGGGUAAAAUCCUUUGAUCUAUUGAUGACCACCUGUGGCGAAGGCGGUCUACCAGAACACGUUCGACGGUGAGGGAUGAAAGCUGGGGGAGCAAACCGGAUUAGAUACCCGGGUAGUCCCAGCUGUAAACGAUGCAGACUCGAUGAUGCAUUGGCAUAAUAGCCAGUGCAGUGUCGCAGGGAAGCCGUUAAGUCUGCCGCCUGGGAAGUACGUACGCAAGUAUGAAACUUAAAGGAAUUGGCGGGGGAGCACCACAAGGGGUGAAGCCUGCGGUUCAAUUGGAGUCAACGCCAGAAAUCUUACCCGGAGAGACAGCAGAAUGAAGGUCAA
rnacentral:rRNA from 1 species